rnacentral:precursor_RNA from 1 species
GCCUCGCCUGCUUGCUUGCUCCGUUGCCAGCACAGCAGCUCAAGUUCUCCGUCUCCCUCCAGUUUAGGGUUGCGUGGCUGGGAGCUCGGGUAGCUAGUCGUCCAUGGCGAUCGAUCGAGAAGGGGUGGUGGCGUUUGGUUGUUGGC